CAGUCGCCGCGGGAAUACGAAGGGGGCUAGCGUUGCUCGGAAUGACUGGGCGUAAAGGGCGCGUAGGCGGUUUGUACAGUUGGAUGUGAAAUUCCUGGGCUUAACCUGGGGGCUGCAUUCAAUACGUGCAGGCUUGAGUGGGGAAGAGGGUCGUGGAAUUCCCAGUGUAGAGGUGAAAUUCGUAGAUAUUGGGAAGAACACCGGUGGCGAAGGCGGCGACCUGGUCCUUGACUGACGCUGAGGCGCGAAAGCGUGGGGAGCAAACAGGAUUAGAUACCCCCGUAGUCCCUGUCUCUUAUAC
rnacentral:rRNA from 1 species